rnacentral:rRNA from 1 species
UUUCACCGGAAAAAUUAAAAAUUGAAUUUUUUUUAAUUUGUGAAUAAACAAUUAUAAAAAUUAAAGACAAGAAGACCCUAAGAAUUUGAAGAUCAAAUAAAUAAAAAAUUUAUUAUUUAUUUGAUCUUGAUUGGGGCGAUCAAAAAAUAUUAAUAACUUUUUAAAUUAAAAUGAUCUAUUAAUAAUAAACUAAUGAAAUAAAUACUCUAGGGAUAACAGCGUAAUAAUUUUUGAUAGAUCUUAUAGACAAAAUAGUUUGCGACCUCGAUGUUGGAUUAGGAUUCUUAUUUAAUGAAGAUGUUAAAUAAAGAAGUUUGUUCAACUUUUAAAUUCCUACAUGAUCUGAGUUCAGACCGG